rnacentral:rRNA from 1 species
CCUACGGGAGGCAGCAGUGAGGAAUAUUGGUCAAUGGGCGUAAGCCUGAACCAGCCAAGCCGCGUGAGGGAAGACUGCCCUAUGGGUUGUAAACCUCUUUUGUCAGGGAGCAACGCCGGCUACGUGUAGCCGGACUGAGAGUACCUGAAAGAAAAGCAUCGCCUAACUCCGUGCCAGCCGCCGCGGUAAUACGGAGGAUGCGGGGGUUAUCCGAAUUUAUGGGGUUUAAAGGGUGCGUAGGCGGAAUGCCAAGUCAGGGGGAAAAUCGCGGGGCUCAACCUGGCUCUGCCGUUGAAACUGGCGUUCUUGAGUGGGCGAGAGGUAUGCGGAAUGCGUGGUGUAGCGGUGAAAUGCAUAGAGAUCACGCAGAACACCGAUUGCGAAGGCAGCAUACCGGCGCCCAACUGACGCUGAAGCACGAAAGCGUGGGGAUCGAACAGGAUUAGAUACCCGAGUAGUC